rnacentral:rRNA from 1 species
CACGUAGGGCGCAAGCGUUGUCCGGAAUUAUUGGGCGUAAAGAGCUCGUAGGUGGUUUGUUACGUCUGCUGUGAAAACCUAGGGCUUAACCCUGGGCUUGCAGUGGAUACGGGCAGACGUAGAGGUAGGUAGGGGAGAAUGGAAUUCCUGGUGUAGCGGUGAAAUGCGCAGAUAUCAGGAGGAACACCGGUGGCGAAGGCGGGUCUCUGGGCCGAUAUUGACGCUGAGGAGCGAAAGCGUGGGGAGCAAACAGG